AGUGAACGCUGGCGGUAGGCCUAACACAUGCAAGUCGAACGGCAGCACAGUAAGAGCUUGCUCUUACGGGUGGCGAGUGGCGGACGGGUGAGGAAUACAUCGGAAUCUACUUUUUCGUGGGGGAUAACGUAGGGAAACUUACGCUAAUACCGCAUACGACCUACGGGUGAAAGCAGGGGAUCUUCGGACCUUGCGCGUUUGAUUGAGCCGAUGUCGGAUUAGUUAGUUGGCGGGGUAAAGGCCCACCAAGGCGACGAUCCGUAGCUGGUCUGAGAGGAUGGUCAGCCACGCUGGAACUGAGGCACGGUCCGGGCUCCUACGGGAGGCAGCGGUGGGGAAUAUUGGACAAUGGGCGCAAGCCUGAUCCAGCCAUACCGCGUGGGUGAAGAAGGCCUUCGGGUUGUAAAGCCCUUUUGUUGGGAAAGAAAAGCAGCAGGUUAAUACCCCGCUGUUCUGACGGUACCCAAAGAAUAAGCACCGGCUAACUUCGUG
rnacentral:rRNA from 1 species